CCUACGGGUGGCAGCAGUAGGGAAUUUUCGUCAAUGGGCGCAAGCCUGAACGAGCGAUGCCGCGUGAGUGAAGAAGGCCUUCGGGUCGUAAAGCUCUGUUUCUGGGGAAAAAAGGCAGCAUCAGGAAAUGGGUGCUGACUGAUGUUGCCACGCCAGAAAGUCACGGCUAACUACGUGCCAGCAGCCGCGGUGAUACGUAGGUGGCGAGCGUUAUCCGGAAUGGUUGGGCGUAAAGGGUGCGCAGGCGGUCCUGCAAGUCUGGAGUGAAACGCAUGAGACCAACUCAGGCAUGGCUUUGGAAACUGGAGGACUGGAGAGCAGGAGAGGGCGGUGGAAUGCCAUGUGUAGCGGUAAAAUGCGUAGAUAUAGGGAAGAACACCAGUGGCGAAGGCGGCCGACUGGCCUGUGGCUGACGCUGAGGCACGAAAGCGUGGGGAGCAAAUAGGAUUAGAUACCCCGGUAGUC
rnacentral:rRNA from 1 species